rnacentral:lncRNA from 1 species
GUUUUUGUCUCCCCAGAUGCCAAAAAAAAUGCCUUCCCAUUACUGAAGGCAAAAUCCAAAGGAGAGAAGGGUGACCCUCCCUGACAUGCUAAAGCUUGCUCAGCCCCAAGAGGAGCAAAUAGCACUGGGCAGGAAGCUCUCAGCUCCUCCAUGAUUCCCUUUCGGCAGAGCAGUUUCCUCCAGACUAACAGGGGCAUUUCAACCCUCGAGCAGUCUGUGUUUUAUUUGGUUUUUGUGCAUACAGCUGUGCAAUGAAAGUGUUUUUGCCAUCAUGACUGUAACAGCAUCCCACAGUGAUCUGUUUCUUCUGCCUAGCCUCACCUCUUCAGUAAUUUUUUGUGUUUGUGUCAGCGGAGAGAUGAACGGGCUGCCUUGAUGGCACUCACAACGGAUGCUAACAUCUGUCUUGACUGCAUUAAGUGCAGAGUUUUCUCUGUUUCCUCGGGUUUACCAAGAAAUGGAGGGAGAGUGUGCUCCUGUUGGAGCUGUGGUCCCCGAACAGCAGGGCUCUGCAUGUGCAUAGCCCAGGCCAGAGGAACACGAAGGCAUUCCUGUGAAAUCAGCCCUCUCCAAGGGAAGGAAGAGGAAAAUCCUACUCUGUCUGUAUCCACUAACUGCAUGGGGUGAGCUAUAAAUAGAAAGUGGUGGUAAUUAACAAUGUGCUAUUGUGUGCCAGGGACGGGCAAAGCAGAGAAAAUACUGCUGCAGUGCUGUUAGUAGGAUUAUGUUCCUACAGCUGCGUUACUCAGUAAGCGUGCCCCAGUAAAUAGCACCCUGCCAUAGUGUGUCACCUAGGUGUCAGCAUCUCCUGGCUGAGACUGUUCUGAUUAUUAAGAAAACGUGUGUGGCUGUUCCCUCCGCUCCUUCUACCUGCUGGCAUUUGUCAAGGCAGUGUGCCACAGUACCAAAUGCAAAAGUUCUGCAGUGUUUUGAGAGAGACAGCUGGAAGCAGGAGGCCUUGUUUUCCCCUUUCCUCAACAGUGGAAAGGGUUUCUGCUUCGCUUUCUUAUGUGGCAUCUUGCCACCUUUUUUUUUUUUUUUUUUUUUUUUUUUUUUUUGAGAUCUACUUAAUUUUUCUCUAGGCAAAAAAUAAUCCCUUUGUAUUCAUGCUAUUGUGUAUCUGGUUGGUGCACACGCAGAUGGCAAGGUCUGCCACUUCAUACUGGCUCUGAAACUCAUUUUGCUGGCUUACUUCAUCU